AAUAGAUACCCUGGUAGUCCACGCUGUAAACGAUGAGGACUAGAUGUUGGUAGGGGAACCUAUCGGUAUCGAAGCAAACGCGAUAAGUCUUCCGCCUGGGAAGUACGGCCGCAAGGUUGAAACUCAAAUGAAUUGACGGGGGCCCGCACAAGCGGUGGAGCAUGUGGUUUAAUUCGAUGCAACGCGAAGAACCUUACCUACCCUUGACAUCCUAGGAACCCUGCAGAGACGUAGGGGUGCCGAAAGGAACCUAGAGACAGGUGCUGCAUGGCUGUCGUCAGCUCGUGUUGUGAGAUGUUGGGUUAAGUCCCGUAACGAGCGCAACCCUUGCCCUUAGUUGCCAGCAUUAAGUUGGGGACUCUAAGGGGACUGCCGGUGAUGAACCGGAGGAAGGCGGGGACGACGUCAAGUCAUCAUGGCCUUUAUGGGUAGGGCUACACACGUGCUACAAUGGGGCGUACAGAGGGUAGCCAACCCGCGAGGGGGAGCCAAUCUCAGAAAGCGUCUCGUAGUCCAGAUUGGAGUCCGCAACUCGACUCCAUGAAGUUG
rnacentral:rRNA from 1 species